CUGAUUAAUAAUGUCUCUGUGUUUAGGACAAUUCUGGAGAAAAUAGGCCUGCAGGGGAAGGUGACUCCCCUGCAGGCAAAGAAAAAAUGGGACAAUUAAAAAAAUAUAUAUAAAGAUUGCAAGUAUCCAGGGUCAGGAGAGGGGGUAGGUGGGAAACCCGGUGCUGCCACUUGGCCCUGGUUUGUCCCCAUGGAUGAGGUAUUGGGACAGAGGCAUUCCACCAACCCCCCUGUCCUAAUUGCCUCCAUCCCUGAGAACACACCAGGGCCAAGUACAGCAAGUACAGCAGUGGUGGAUCAGGAGGUGGAGGACAAGGAUCAGGAGGAGGAAAGACAGUGAGGGCCAAGGUCCAGAAAGAGGGACAGAGAGGAAGACAUGUUCCAGAGUCACUCACUAUCUUCCGAAAAGGACUCAAGACUCACCUGUUCAGAGUCCACCUCGACUGCAUAGCCACCCUCCCCCUUCUGGCAACCAUUGUACACUGUGUUGUAUUGUAUUGUAUUAUAGUACUUAACUGUGUAGCAACUGCAGUAGCUGCUAUCAUGGCUGCUACACGGGGAAUUGAUUAGCCUAGCAAUUGUGGUACUUGCACUUGGUUCUAUGAACAUCCUUUCUGUACCGACAGCGAUAUAUUGAUGCACUUCUUAUGACAAAUGUACUUAUAGUAAGUCGCUUUGGAUAAAAGCGUCUGCUAAAUGCCCUAAAUGUAAAUGUAAAAUGUAAAUGUUCCAGUUAAUAAAAGAGGACAUUAGGCUACAAAGGGAGGCAAAGGAGAGAAGAGCCCAGGAGAGCAGGGAAAGAAUGGAUAGGUUUUUCUCAAUUUUGGAGCGUUUGGUGGACAAAUAACUUAUGUUCUGUUAUAUUUAACACAUUGUUUAUUAUUAUUUACAUAUUUAUUGAAACUAACUUAUUUAACUAACUUUUUUGAUUAGCUAUUUAUUAAAACCCUUACUAACUUUUUUGUAUUGACUAAUGUAUUCGUACAUAACUUAUAAAACAUAUAUACAACAAUAAAACUAUUUACAACAAACAUU